rnacentral:lncRNA from 1 species
CUAAACCCAUCUUAGAAGCAUCACAAUACACCACAAAUGACUCACUCGGAUUCAAAAAAACCAAAACUGGAGCAGACGCCAACUUCUUCUUGAGUUCUUGAAGACUCUCUUCGUAAUACACAUCUCAAACACAGACUUAACCUUUUUGAGUCAACUGAGUCAACGAAAAAGAUUACUUCUAAAAUCUUUCAACAAUCUUCCUAUAG